CGAGUUUGAUCCUGGCUCAGGAUAAACGCUAGCGGCAGGCCUAACACAUGCAAGUCGCGGGGCAGCAUAACAAUUAGCAAUAAUCGUUGAUGGCGACCGGCGCACGGGUGCGUAACACGUAUGUAACCUGGCCUUUACAGGGGGAUAGUCAGAGGAAACUUUGAAUAAUACCCCAUAACACACCAUUAAGGCAUCUUAUAGGUGUUAAAGGAGCAAUCCGGUAAAGGAUGGACAUGCGACCGAUUAGACAGUUGGUGAGGUAACGGCUCACCAAAUCCACGAUCGGUAGGGGGUCUGAGAGGACUACCCCCCACACUGGUACUGAGACACGGACCAGACUCCUACGGGAGGCAGCAGUGAGGAAUAUUGGGCAAUGGGCGGAAGCCUGACCCAGCCAUGCCGCGUGCAGGAAGACAGCCCUAUGGGUCGUAAACUGCUUUUUUAGAGGAAGAAUAAAGUCUACGAGUAGACCGAUGACGGUACUUUAAGAAAAAGCAUCGGCUAACUCCGUGCCAGCAGCCGCGGUAAUACGGAGGAUGCAAGCGUUAUCCGGAAUUAUUGGGUUUAAAGGGUCCGCAGGCGGCCCGUUAAGUCAGUAGUGAAAACCCGGGGCUCAACCCCGGACGUGCUACAGAUACUGGCGGGCUAGAGAAAGUCUGGAGGCAGCGGAAUGUGACAAGUAGCGGUGAAAUGCAUAGAUAUGUCACAGAACACCGAUAGCGAAAGCAGCUGCCUAAGACUUAUCUGACGCUCAGGGACGAAAGCGUGGGGAGCAAACAGGAUUAGAUACCCUGGUAGUCCACGCAGUAAACGAUGGAUACCAUCUUUUUGGCAAUUAUGCUGAGAGGACAAUCGAAAGAGAUAAGUAUCCCACCUGGGGAGUACGUGCGCAAGCAUGAAACUCAAAGGAAUUGACGGGGGCCCGCACAAGCGGUGGAGCAUGUGGUUUAAUUCGAUGAUACGCGAGGAACCUUACCAGGGUUUAAAUGGGUCCUGAAUAAUUUGGAAACAGA
rnacentral:rRNA from 1 species